rnacentral:misc_RNA from 1 species
GGCCAUCUCAUUCAUAGUACUCCAAAAGAUGCAUAUAUAACAUCCACAGACUAAAUAAAGUCGAACAAAUACUAAAAACAACAAACUAGAUAUUCAGAUAUCGAUAAUAGGCCAAAACCAACCAUUACUAUUCAGAAACAAAAGCUACAUUGCUAAUAUCAAACUAGAUACUUAAUACGCUUAAUCUCUAUUCCAUUCUUGUAAAUCAUCACACCAGCAGAGCUCAAAACUGGAACAUAUCAGAAGCAGUGAUAGGUUGAAUCGGGCAAGGCAGUUGCCAUGGCUCCAGCAAAGUGUCGGGAAUUUCAGGAAUGUCCACAGGAAAUCCAGUAGUAUCAGCCCAAAAUUGGGUGAGUGAGUUCAGUGAAUUCAACCGUUCAGUCAAUUCUGCAAGCUGAGCCCUCAACACGUUGUUCUCUGCAUCAAUGGAACGAUAGUUCAUUUCAACAGAAGCAAUCUUAUCACGGCAGAUACUGUUCUGGUUCUGCAGCUGUGUUGUUUCGCUACUUAACUCCUCCAAACGCUGCUGCUUCUUCAUCCGUGACCUCUUGGCCGACUCACGGUUGGAUUCCAUUCUCUUCCUUUUCCUUUCGUCGAACUUUGCAUACCUCUGGUCUGCAUCUGAACCAGAACUCACCAAGUGCGGAGUCGAAGACAUGUCUCUCAGGCAGAUUGGAUGAAUGAUUUAAAAAAUGGAAUAACAGGGAACUAUGUAUAAUUUGUUAAAGCACCAAACUUUUGAUAGUGUGGCUAUGGAAUUUGUAAAUUAAACUGGAACAAGAAAAUGAUGAGGGCUCUAGUUCAUGAAAAC